GGACGAACGCUGGCGGCGUGCCUAAUACAUGCAAGUCGAACGGUCUUUCUAUGGAAGCUUGCUUCCACUGAGAAGAUAGUGGCGAACGGGUGAGUAACACGUGGGUAACCUGCCCAUAAGAGGGGGAUAACAUCCGGAAACGGGUGCUAAUACCGCAUAGUUUUCUUGAUCGCAUGAUCGGGAAGGAAAGACGGCCUUUGUGCUGUCGCUUAUGGAUGGACCCGCGGCGUAUUAGUUAGUUGGUGAGGUAACGGCCCACCAAGACGAUGAUACGUAGCCGACCUGAGAGGGUGAUCGGCCACAUUGGGACUGAGACACGGCCCAAACUCCUACGGGAGGCAGCAGUAGGGAAUCUUCCGCAAUGGACGAAAGUCUGACGGAGCAACGCCGCGUGAGUGAAGAAAGGUUUUCGGAUCGUAAAACUCUGUUGUCAGAGAAGAACAAGUUGGAGAGUAACUGCUCCAGCCUUGACGGUAUCUGACCAGAAAGCCACGGCUAACUACGUGCCAGCCGCAGC
rnacentral:rRNA from 1 species